rnacentral:rRNA from 1 species
UACGUAGGGUGCAAGCGUUGUCCGGAAUUAUUGGGCGUAAAGAGCUCGUAGGCGGUCUGUCGCGUCGAAUGUGAAAACCCGGGGCUCAACCCCGGGCCUGCAUUCGAUACGGGCAGACUAGAGUUCGGUAGGGGAGUCUGGAAUUCCUGGUGUAGCGGUGAAAUGCGCAGAUAUCAGGAGGAACACCAGUGGCGAAGGCGACUUCCUGGCCUGUUCUUGACGCUGAGGCGCGAAAGCUGGGGGAGCAAACGGG